rnacentral:rRNA from 1 species
AUUGAACGCUGGCGGCAGGCCUAACACACGCAAGUCGAACGGUAACAGGAAGCAGCUUGCUGCUUUGCUGACGAGUGGCGGACGGGUGAGUAAUGUCUGGGAAACUGCCUGAUGGAGGGGGAUAACUACUGGAAACGGUAGCUAAUACCGCAUAACGUCGCAAGACCAAAGAGGGGGACCUUAUGGCCUCUUGCCAUCGGAUGUGCCCAGAUGGGAUUAGCUAGUAGGUGGGGUAACGGCUCACCUAGGCGACGAUCCCUAGCUGGUCUGAGAGGAUGACCAGCCACACUGGAACUGAGACACGGUCCAGACUCCUACGGGAGGCAGCAGUGGGGAAUAUUGCACAAUGGGCGCAAGCCUGAUGCAGCCAUGCCGCGUGUAUGAAGAAGGCCUUCGGGUUGUAAAGUACUUUCAGCGGGGAGGAAGGGAGUAAAGUUAAUACCUUGGCUCAUUGACGUUACCCGCAGAAGAAGCACCGGCUAACUCCGUG